rnacentral:rRNA from 1 species
GUGACUGCGUACCUUUUGUAUAAUGGGUCAGCGACUUAUAUUCUGUAGCAAGGUUAACCGAAUAGGGGAGCCGGAGGGAAACCGAGUCUUAAUUGGGCGUUAAGUUGCAGGGUAUAGACCCGAAACCCGGUGAUCUAGCCAUGGGCAGGUUGAAGGUUGGGUAACACUAACUGGAGGACCGAACCGACUAAUGUUGAAAAAUUAGCGGAUGACCUGUGGCUGGGGGUGAAAGGCCAAUCAAACCGGGAGAUAGCUGGUUCUCCCCGAAAGCUAUUUAGGUAGCGCCUCGUGAAUUCAUCUCCGGGGGUAGAGCACUGUUUCGGCUAGGGGGCCAUCCCGGCUUACCAACCCGAUGCAAACUGCGAAUACCGGAGAAUGUUAUCACGGGAGACACACGGCGGGUGCUAACGUCCGUCGUGAAGAGGGAAACAACCCAGACCGCCAGCUAAGGUCCCAAAGUCAUGGUUAAGUGGGAAACGAUGUGGGAAGGCCCAGACAGCCAGGAUGUUGGCUUAGAAGCAGCCAUCAUUUAAAGAAAGCGUAAUAGCUCACUGGUCGAGUCGGCCUGCGCGGAAGAUGUAACGGGGCUAAACCAUGCACCGAAGCUGCGGCAGCGACACUCAGGUGUUGUUGGGUAGGGGAGCGUUCUGUAAGCCUGUGAAGGUGGCCUGUGAGGGUUGCUGGAGGUAUCAGAAGUGCGAAUGCUGACAUAAGUAACGAUAAAGCGGGUGAAAAGCCCGCUCGCCGGAAGACCAAGGGUUCCUGUCCAACGUUAAUCGGGGCAGGGUGAGUCGACCCCUAAGGCGAGGCCGAAAGGCGUAGUCGAUGGGAAACGGGUUAAUAUUCCCGUACUUGGUGUUACUGCGAAGGGGGGACGGAGAAGGCUAUGUUGGCCGGGCGACGGUUGUCCCGGUUUAAGCGUGUAGGCUGGUUUUCCAGGUAAAUCCGGAAAACAACUGAGGCGUGAUGACGAGGCACUACGGUGCUGAAGCAACAAAUGCCCUGCUUCCAGGAAAAGCCUCUAAGCAUCAGGUAACAUCAAAUCGUACCCCAAACCGACACAGG